rfam:Sphaerobolus stellatus SS14 unplaced genomic scaffold SPHSTscaffold_31, whole genome shotgun sequence.
AGCGGUUGGGAUUCUUACAAAUCGAACUUCCCUCUCGCCUUUUACUAGAGGAAACCGUGCGAGGAUCCCAUAAUGACCGUCUGCGCUAUUUUUCAAAUACUCAGUUCACCUGAGCCU